UACGUAGGGGGCAAGCGUUGUUCGGAAUUACUGGGCGUAAAGGGCGCGUAGGCGGCCCGGCAAGUCGGGAGUGAAAGCCCGGGGCUCAACCCCGGAGGGUCUUCCGAAACUGCCGAGCUAGAGUGCGGAAGAGGCAACCGGAAUUCCCAGUGUAGCGGUGAAAUGCGUAGAUAUUGGGAGGAACACCAGUGGCGAAGGCGGCUCACUGGACCGGAACUGACGCUGAGGCGCGAAAGCGUGGGGAGCAAACAGG
rnacentral:rRNA from 1 species